rnacentral:rRNA from 1 species
UACGAAGGGGGCUAGCGUUGUUCGGAAUUACUGGGCGUAAAGAGCUCGUAGGUGGUUUGUCGCGUUGUUCGUGAAAACUCACAGCUCAACUGUGGGCGUGCGGGCGAUACGGGCAGACUGGAGUACUGACAGGGGAGACUGGAAUUCCUGGUGUAGCGGUGGAAUGCGCAGAUAUCAGGAGGAACACCCGUGGCGAAGGCGGCUCUCUGGGACGGUACUGACGCUGAGACGCGAAAGCGUGGGGAGCAAACAGG